rnacentral:rRNA from 1 species
UACGAAGGUCCCGAGCGUUGUUCGGAAUCACUGGGCGUAAAGGGAGCGUAGGCGGUGCGGUAAGUCAGAUGUGAAAUCCCGGGGCUCAACCCCGGAACUGCAUCCGAUACUGCCGUGCUUGAGCGAUGGAGAGGUAGCUGGAAUUCACGGUGUAGCAGUGAAAUGCGUGGAUAUCGUGAGGAACACUCGUGGCGAAAGCGAGCUACUGGACAUCUGCUGACGCUGAGGCUCGAAGGCCAGGGGAGCGAAAGGG